CAGUGGUCUACAAAUUAGAUAUUAUCUCCAUUUUCUUCCUCUUCAGUGAAAGUAAUAGAACAAACUAUGAUUUGGGGAAAAAAUAUAAGUGCUCCCACCAGAAAACCAACAGAAUGAAUCCUAUUCUACUUUGAGCUUCAUGGUCAAAUUCAAGAUUUUUACUGGGCUAAAAAUAGAGAUUCGAAGAUGGCAGAGGACUCCUGUGGGAUUCUGAAGGCUCCAUCUCUAGAUGUGACCAUCUUCUGAUCAGUUCGACAUUGAAGGAAUCAUCCAGCUGGUUCAUGUUCCCUCUACCUAUAACUUAUGCUGAAUCUGGCUCAUGGAAGUAAGUUAAUGACCCACCACUUCUGCACAAGUACCAUUGGAAAGUUAUCUCUGGAAAAAUAAGAUGAACUCAUUACAGUUGGCUAUGAUUUUGUACUGGGGGAAAAAGGAAAGUGGAUUUGAAUGGCCUCUGUCAUUUUCUAGAUUGUUUAAGGACUAUGUAUAAACUUUUGUGACAUGAAGCUGAA